CUGACUCCAAUGUAAAUUAGGACUCUUCGGAUCACCCAAACAAGCCUCUGAAGUGUCGGAUCGAGCCUGCAAGCCCCCAGCCACCGUCAGAUCAUGCAAAAACAAUAGGAAACAUGGGAAACCCACCUUUGGUUCAUAGUGGACCGCGAGGAACGUGAGGAAAACAUUCUCAUGGUCCAUGCCUGCUUCAGUGGAUUGACGGUACAUGAUGGACCACGUGAGAUAGUGCGGGAUGCACCCUGCAUGCGCCCGCCUGGGCCUGGGCC
rnacentral:lncRNA from 1 species